rnacentral:rRNA from 1 species
CGAGNNGUAGUCUGNAGAAGUGCUUUCCGCNCUGGACCGUGUACNAGUCUCUUGGAACAGAGCGUCAUAGAGGGUGAGAAUCCCGUCUUUGACACGGACUANCAGUGCUUUGUGAUGCGCUCUCAAAGAGUCGAGUUGUUUGGGAAUGCAGCUCAAAAUGGGUGGUAAAUUCCAUCUAAAGCUAAAUAUUGGCGAGAGACCGAUAGCGAACAAGUACCGUGAGGGAAAGAUGAAAAGCACUUUGGAAAGAGAGUUAAACAGUACGUGAAAUUGCUGAAAGGGAAACGCUUGAAGUCAGUCGCGUCGUGCGGAACUCAGCCUUGCUUUCGCUUGGUGCACUUUCUGUACGACGGGCCAGCAUCAAUUUUGACCGUCGGAAAAGGGCUGAAGGAAUGUGGCACCUUCGGGUGUGUUAUAGCCUUCGGUCGCAUACGGCGGUUGGGAUUGAGGAUCGCAGCGCGCCGCAAGGCAGGGGUUCGCCCACUUUCGCGCUUAGGAUGCUGGCAUAAUGGCUUUAAACGACCCGUCUUGAAACACGGACCAAGGAGUCUAACUUACCUGCGAGUGUUUGGGUGGAAAACCCGAGCGNGUAAUGAAAGUGAAAGNUGGGNCNUNNGUCNNGGNGGGCACCGACGCCCGGACCUGACGUUCUCUGAAGGAUCCGCGGUAGAGCNUGUAGGUUGGGACCCG